UUUACUAUUCCUGGUAAAGCGCGGAGAAGAGUGGAAUGAACAAAAAAGUCAGACCGUGACUAGAACCACCAGCAGCGUAACAAGGAAAUCUUGGAGCAAAGAGACGCCGAGUGGCUCGUGUUGUCCGGUUUGGAUAUCAGCGGCAAAGCGAACGUUGCGUGUACUAUUGCAAAAUAUAUAGCGGAUCUCCACGGUUAGGAUACAGAACACAACGCUUUGGACGUAUCUUUAAAAAAGAGAAAAAUCAGAGACUUUUUGGAUUUGUCUGGGACAUUUUAAACAUUUUGUGGCAAAUUGGAUUUAAAACGUUUCGGAUACUGGAUACAUGUGUUUGAUUUGUCCACAGAGCUUGUUUAAGACGUCUUCACCUCAUUUUAGGGUUUAUUUUUAAUUAAAGGCUUCUUAAAACAUGUGUGAAAAUGUGUAUAUUAUACAAUGAGUAUUAUAUUGACUG